rnacentral:rRNA from 1 species
UGGGGAAUAUUGGGCAAUGGGCGCAAGCCUGACCCAGCAACGCCGCGUGAAGGAAGAAGGCUUUCGGGUUGUAAACUUCUUUUGUCAGGGACGAGUAGAAGACGGUACCUGACGAAUAAGCCACGGCUAACUACGUGCCAGCAGCCGCGGUAAUACGUAGGUGGCAAGCGUUGUCCGGAUUUACUGGGUGUAAAGGGCGUGUAGCCGGGAGGGCAAGUCAGAUGUGAAAUCCACGGGCUCAACCCGUGAAUUGCUUUCAAAACUGCUGGCCUUGAGUAGUGCAGAGGUAGGCGGAAUUCCCGGUGUAGCGGUGGAAUGCGUAGAUAUCGGGAGGAACACCAGUGGCGAAGGCGGCCUACUGGGCACCAACUGACGCUGAGGCUCGAAAGUGUGGGUAGCAAACAGGAUUAGAUACCCUGGUAGUCCACACCGUAAACGAUGAUUACUAGGUGUUGGAGGAUUGACCCCUUCAGUGCCGCAGUUAACACAAUAAGUAAUCCACCUGGGGAGUACGACCGCAAAGGUUGAAACUCAAAGGAAUUGACGGGGGCCCGCACAAGCAGUGGAGUAUGUGGUUUAAUUCGACGCAACGCGAAGAACCUUACCAAGUCUUGACAUCCUGCGACGAUGCUGGAAACAGUAUUUUCCUUCGGGACGCAGAGACAGGUGGUGCAUGGUUGUCGUCAGCUCGUGUCGUGAGAUGUUGGGUUAAGUCCCGCAACGAGCGCAACCCUUACUGUCAGUUACUACGCAAGAGGACUCUGGCAGGACUGCCGUUGACAAAACGGAGGAAGGUGGGGAUGACGUCAAAUCAUCAUGCCCUUUAUGACUUGGGCUACACACGUACUACAAUGGCGUUAAACAAAGAGAAGCAAGACCGCGAGGUGGAGCAAAACUCAGAAACAACGUCCCAGUUCGGACUGCAGGCUGCAACUCGCCUGCACGAAGUCGGAAUUGCUAGUAAUCGUGGAUCAGCAUGCCACGGUGAAUACGUUCCC